ACGGCAAGUGCUCUGUACAAAUUUCAUUAAUAUUAUUUACUUAUUUGUUAAAUGCUCUGUACAGAUUUCAUUAAUUUUUAAGGUUUAAAAAAAAAACAUUUUUCAUUACGGUCCAUUCUACUAUUCUUGCUACACAGAAAGCUUGAUUGAAAUCCAUUAGUGGAUACACUCCCGUAAUUAGCACUCUGAAGACAAGAAGGCAUUGUAGAGGAGGGAAAGGCAUUGUUCUUUGCAGGGUUCAUGUUCAGAAUUUUUAUUUGCAGGGCGAAUUUCGUGGUUUUUUGCAGGCUUCGCAGGUUUGGAAAAACUUGUUUAUUUUGUGCAGCUGAAUCGCAUUUUGGGUCGUGAGGGUUUCUGGUUCGAAAUUUUCGUGCAAGGGUUUUCUGGAAAAAAUUUCGAGGGUUUUUUUUCAUCAACUGUGGAUUUUCGAUGAUGGAUUUUCCUCUGCUCGCGAUGCGAUUUUGUGAACAAUGGUUUUUUAUUUCGCGACCUGCAGAUUUUUUUUGGUGAGGAUUUUUCGUGAUUCACGUUUUGUUUUGCAUCAAGCUUUUUUGGUGGGCGAUUUUUUUCGCGAUGGCUCUGUAUUGGCCCGCAAUUCGCACCUUGUUUUAGUGCAACCUGCGUCGUUCUUCGCGACAUCUGUGGGCAUUUUUUUUUUGGCUUAGGCGGCGAUAACUUCUCUGCAACCUGUGCGAUUUCCGCGAUUUCCAUUUUUACAGGGUCGAAAUUUUAUCAUGCGUUUGUUUUUCCUGGCAGAUUUAGAUGCUUAUAGUUGCAGUGAUUAGCUUCUUGAGCUCAUUAGGGUUGUAGAAAUUACUUCUGGGUUGACGUCAUUUAUGAUUGAACGUUGUACUUUUUUGGAGCUAAAAUUGUCAAUUAGAAGAAAGCCUGAAUCUGUGUUCAACACAUUAGUUGUGGGUUUUCCCCAACAAAUCAGGUAAUCGGAAAUGUUUUUGAUGUUUCAAAAAGGAAAUUGGAUUAAUUUGCAGGGAAUAAUUUGUUUUGUCUUGUGCUCAUUGUAAAUUGCAAAACUUGAUUGUGUUA